rnacentral:rRNA from 1 species
UCUCCCUGGAAACGGGUGGUAAUGCCGGAUGCUCCAGUUGAUCGCAUGGUCUUCUGGGAAAGCUUUCGCGGUAUGGGAUGGGGUCGCGUCCUAUCAGCUUGACGGCGGGGUAACGGCCCACCGUGGCUUCGACGGGUAGCCGGCCUGAGAGGGCGACCGGCCACAUUGGGACUGAGAUACGGCCCAGACUCCUACGGGAGGCAGCAGUGGGGAAUAUUGCACAAUGGGCGCAAGCCUGAUGCAGCGACGCCGCGUGAGGGAUGGAGGCCUUCGGGUUGUAAACCUCUUUUAUCGGGGAGCAAGCGAGAGUGAGUUUACCCGUUGAAUAAGCACCGGCUAACUACGUGCCAGCAGCCGCGGUAAUACGUAGGGUGCAAGCGUUAUCCGGAAUUAUUGGGCGUAAAGGGCUCGUAGGCGGUUCGUCGCGUCCGGUGUGAAAGUCCAUCGCUUAACGGUGGAUCCGCGCCGGGUACGGGCGGGCUUGAGUGCGGUAGGGGAGACUGGAAUUCCCGGUGUAACGGUGGAAUGUGUAGAUAUCGGAAAGAACACCA